rnacentral:rRNA from 1 species
GACGAACGCUGGCGGCGUGCUUAACACAUGCAAGUCGAACGGAAAGGCCCUGCUUUUGUGGGGUGCUCGAGUGGCGAACGGGUGAGUAACACGUGAGUAACCUGCCCUUGACUUUGGGAUAACUUCAGGAAACUGGGGCUAAUACCGGAUAGGAGCUCCUGCUGCAUGGUGGGGGUUGGAAAGUUUCGGCGGUUGGGGAUGGACUCGCGGCUUAUCAGCUUGUUGGUGGGGUAGUGGCUUACCAAGGCUUUGACGGGUAGCCGGCCUGAGAGGGUGAACGGCGACAUUGGGACUGAGAUACGGCCCAGACUACAACGGGAGGCAGCAGUGGGGAAUAUUGCACAAUGGGCGGAAGCCUGAUGCAGCAACGCCGCGUGCGGGAUGACGGCCUUCGGGUUGUAAACCGCUUUCGCCUGUGACGAAGCGUGAGUGACGGUAAUGGGUAAAGAAGCACCGGCUAACUACGUG